rnacentral:rRNA from 1 species
AGGUCUUGACAUCCUUUGACCACUCUAGAGAUAGAGCUUCCCCUUCGGGGGCAAAGUGACAGGUGGUGCAUGGUUGUCGUCAGCUCGUGUCGUGAGAUGUUGGGUUAAGUCCCGCAACGAGCGCAACCCUUAUUGUUAGUUGCCAUCAUUCAGUUGGGCACUCUAGCAAGACUGCCGGUGACAAACCGGAGGAAGGUGGGGAUGACGUCAAAUCAUCAUGCCCCUUAUGACCUGGGCUACACACGUGCUACAAUGGGAAGUACAACGAGUUGCGAAGUCGCGAGGCUAAGCUAAUCUCUUAAAGCUUCUCUCAGUUCGGAUUGCAGGCUGCAACUCGCCUGCAUGAAGCCGG